rnacentral:rRNA from 1 species
AGAAUCAACGCUGGCGGCGUGCCUAACACAUGCAAGUCGAACGAGAACGGGCAGCAAUACCUUAGUAAAGUGGCGCACGGGUGAGUAACACGUGACUAACCUACCCUCGAGUGGGGAAUAACCUGGGGAAACCCGGGCUAAUACCGCAUAAUACCCACGGGUCAAAGGAGCAAUUCGCUUGAGGAGGGGGUCGCGGCAGAUUAGUUAGUUGGCGGGUAAUGGCCCACCAAGACGAUGAUCUGUA